UCUUUGCACCUAUAGAUUCGGAUG
rnacentral:siRNA from 1 species